UGGGGAAUUUUGGACAAUGGGCGCAAGCCUGAUCCAGCCAUGCCGCGUGCGGGAAGAAGGCCUUCGGGUUGUAAACCGCUUUGUCAGGGAAGAAAUCUUCUGAGUUAAUACCUCGGGAGGAUGACGGUACCUGAAGAAUAAGCACCGGCUAACUACGUGCCAGCAGCCGCGGUAAUACGUAGGGUGCAAGCGUUAAUCGGAAUUACGGGCGUAAACGUGCNCAGGCGGUUUUGUAAGACAGAGGUGAAAUCCCCGGGCUCAACCUGGGAACUGCCUUUGUGACUGCAAGGCUUGAGUGCGGCAGAGGGGGGAUGGAAUUCCGCGUGUAGCAGUGAAAUGCGUAGAUAUGCGGAGGAACACCGAUGGCGAAGGCAAAUCCCCUGGGCCUGCACUGACGCUCAUGCACAAAGCGUGGGGAGCAAACAGGAUUAGAUAGCCCUGGUAGUCCACGCCCU
rnacentral:rRNA from 1 species